rnacentral:pre_miRNA from 1 species
UAUUUCAAAUUUCAUCCGUUUGUAUGGUUAAAAACUUGCAUGACUGAUGAAAUAACUAAAUAGCAACACGUAAUGUGCCAUGCCUACCUCAUGCUGAUGUACAAUGACCAAUUUUUAACAGUAGAAAUGAAUGAAAUUUUUAACA